UACAGAGGGUGCAAGCGUUAAUCGGAAUUACUGGGCGUAAAGCGUGCGUAGACGGUUACAUAAGUCAGAUGUGAAAGCCCCGGGCUCAACCUGGGAAUUGCAUUUGAGACUGCACGGCUGGAGUGCGGCAGAGGGGGAUGGAAUUCCGCGUGUAGCAGUGAAAUGCGUAGAUAUGCGGAGGAACACCGAUGGCGAAGGCAAUCCCCUGGGCCUGCACUGACGCUCAUGCACGAAAGCGUGGGGAGCAAACAGG
rnacentral:rRNA from 1 species